ACGCUCGACACCUACGGGAGACAGCAGUGGGGAAUAUUGCACAAUGGGGGAAACCCUGAUGCAGCGACGCCGCGUGAGCGAAGAAGUAUUUCGGUAUGUAAAGCUCUAUCAGCAGGGAAGAAACUGACGGUACCUGACUAAGAAGCACCGGCUAAAUACGUGCCGGCAGCCGCGGUAAUCUGAGCGGCUGGCAAGGC
rnacentral:rRNA from 1 species